GACCACCGAGCCUCCCCUCAAACGAUCAUUCAUCCGUCCACUCUCUAUCAACCACGAUUCUUCAUUCUCCACUUCACCGUGUUGGGGUCAGGACACGUCCAUGAAGCAUCCGGAGAGCACUACCUGACUUGAGAGUUUGCUCUUUCUAGGUCAACUCCUCUUCACCGUGUUGGAGCCAGGACACGUCCGUGAAGCAUCUGGAGCACACCGCCUAUCCAAUAGAGCUGAUCCACGGAUUACAUCGUGAUUUGCUUGGGGGCCCACCACCUUUUGUUCGGCAUUCCGAGAAUUCAUCCAUCAUGGCUAACUCCGGGGCAAGGCUCUGAUACCACUUGUAGGGACUAUGGACACCACUUAUCUCCAUAUUGGUAUGAUAUUGUCCACUUUGGGCCUAAGCCCUCAUGGAUUUGCUCUUGGGCUAUACCCCAAAAGGC
rnacentral:lncRNA from 1 species